rnacentral:rRNA from 1 species
GUAAACGAUGCUCACUAGCUGAAUGCGAUAUACCGUAUGCGGCCGAGCGAAAGCGUUAAGUGAGCCACCUGGGGAGUACGCCGGCAACGGUGAAACUCGAAGGAAUUGACGGGGGCCCUCACAAGCGGAGGAACAUGUGGUUUAAUUCGAUGAUACGCGAGGAACCUUACCUGGGCUUAAAUGAGAAUCGACGGGAGUGGAAACAUUUCUUUCUUCGGACGUUUUUCAAGGUGCUGCAUGGUUGUCGUCAGCUCGUGCCGUGAGGUGUCGGGUUAAGUCCCAUAACGAGCGCAACCCUUACCGUUAGUUACCAGCGGGUGAAGCCGGGGACUCUAACGGGACUGCCACCGUAAGGUGCGAGGAAGGGGGGGAUGACGUCAAAUCAGCACGGCCCUUAUGUCCAGGGCUACACACGUGUUACAAUGGCCGGUACAAAAGGCAGCUACCUGGCGACAGGAUGCCAAUCUCGAAAACCGGUCCCAGUUCGGAU